ensembl:lincRNA
ACUACCUCACUGGAAGCACCAGGGGAAGUAGUUUAAGGGAAUGAAGAACAUCAGAGGACAGAACCCAGCAGGGCUCAGCAGAUCUUGGAAAACCAGCAGCUGUGGAGUAAGGAACAGGCCAAGUGACACGAUUCCAAACACAGAACCUGACACAGACAGACACACUGUAAACAUCUGUGGAACAAAUGCUGAACAAAUGAACUGCUGGCAAGCAUCAGCCCCAGGUCUAAUUCCACAGUCCUCACUGCAUGUGCCUGGACUCUUCCCUGCUUCGGGCCAUGCUCAGGGAACUAAGCAGUCCCCCACCCCCGCCAUUAUAUCAGAGACACCAGGAGGACACAGAGCAUACUUGUGCAUCUUUCUUCCUCUAUGGGAUGUCUGGCUUGCACCUUGACCUUUACAGAUACUCUAAAGUAUUGGGGGAAGUGGGAAUCAGGUCUUGUACCUACAGCUGGCCUGGUACUAUGAACUACAGGCUGCCCUUGAUGUCACAGUAACACCCUCUUAGCCUCCUGAGUACUGGGAUUAUGAGUUUGUGCCAAUAUGCUCGGGUCUCUCUAUAAAACUUUGUUUGUUUGUUUGUUUGUUUGUUGAGACAGGGUUUCUCUGUGUAGCCCUGGCCAUCCUGGAAAUCACUCUGUAGAUCAGGCAGGCCUAGAAAUCAGAGAGCCGCCUGCCUCUGUCUCCCAAGUGUAGGGAUUAGAGGCAUGUGCCACCACUACCCAUCAAUAACACUUUUUUUAAUAGAAGUGCCAAACAAAAAAUGACUGUCACUGCUGGUGUAUCUUACCAUUCCCUGUGCCUGUGUUGUUAAAUUGCCUCUUCACAUUCCUGGAGCAGCAGGAUAGGGUUGUCGAGAAAGAAAUCAAAAAGCAAGUGCUGAGAAAAGGCCUUGGUGAAGGAAGAGUUAAUAGGAAAGGGAAAACAUGACUAUGGAGAAGGGAGAGGAAAAGAGAGCAGUAAGAGACAGCAUUACAAUCUUAUGAUCAAUUGAUCAACCUUAUUGUUGUUUAGUUGGCUUGGAAGUACUAGUUUUACAAAUAUUUUAUGAAUGAAAAUGCCACAAUGAAACACAGUACUUUAGAAACUAACAACAACAAAAAAAGCCUUUAAAAAAAAAAAGAGAGGAGAAAAAAAAAUCAUACUUUAGAAAAAAUAGUGCAAAACAUUCCCUCCACUAUAAUUGCACUUGAUUACUUCUACCAUUUAGGCUUCUUAAUAAAAUUUACUGGGUACAGUAAGAAGUUUGUUUUUAUGUAGUGACGGAACCCCUGGGGUCCUAAGCAAGUGCUCUCUCCUAACCUAAGAGUUAUAUCUAAGCUUCUUUGAAUUUUAAGUCUCUGCAAUCAGGUGUAGCUGAACACCUGGAGGAAUCAGAAAGGACAGUGAUGGAGGUGCUCCUAGUUCACAAAUGGCCCUACAAUGACCACUCUAUCUAGCUGGCACCAAAGAAGGACCUGUCAGUAAAGACAGCCUCAGACCAUGUGUAGAACUGACUCCCAAGGGUCUCCAAGCCUACAAUCAACCCAGAAGCAGCCCACUGCUCUCAGAAUAUAUCCGAAGGGUUUUGUUUGUUUGUUUUAGUCUCUUGAAUGGCUCUGCUACUGUUAUCAAUCCUUUUCCCACCCCAUCUGACUCAAAGCAGAAGUGAAUUUCUAACCCAUGUACCAAUAUUCAGCCAAGAUGAGUCGGGGCUUACACAGAGAACAGAUUAGCACUC